rnacentral:rRNA from 1 species
UACGUAGGGUGCGAGCGUUAAUCGGAAUUACUGGGCGUAAAGCGUGCGCAGGCGGUUCGUUAAGUCAGAUGUGAAAGCCCCGGGCUCAACCUGGGAACUGCAUUUGAAACUGGCGGGCUUGAGUGUGGCAGAGGAAGGUGGAAUUCCACGUGUAGCGGUGAAAUGCGUAGAGAUGUGGAGGAACACCGAUGGCGAAGGCAGCCUUCUGGGCCAACACUGACGCUCAUGCACGAAAGCGUGGGGAGCAAACAGG